rnacentral:rRNA from 1 species
CAGCCGCCGCGGGAAUACGUAGGGUGCGAGCGUUAAUCGGAAUUACUGGGCGUAAAGCGUGCGCAGGCGGUUCGUUAAGACAGAUGUGAAAUCCCCGGGCUUAACCUGGGAACUGCAUUUGUGACUGGCGAGCUAGAGUAUGGCAGAGGGGGGUAGAAUUCCACGUGUAGCAGUGAAAUGCGUAGAGAUGUGGAGGAAUACCGAUGGCGGAGGCAGCCCCCUGGGCCAAUACUGACGCUCAUGCACGAAAGCGUGGGGAGCAAACAGGAUUAGAUACCCCGGUAGUCCCUGUCUCUUAUAC